rnacentral:piRNA from 1 species
UAACAGAGACACUUCUUUGCCUGCGC